ensembl:lncRNA
CACAAACACAGGAUUGGUCGGUAGGUAGCUAAAACACAAACAUUGGUAAACAACAACGGGCUUGGUAGGUAGCUAAAACACAAACACUGGUAAACAACAACAGGCUUGGUCGGUAGGUAGCUAAAACACAAACACUGGUAAACAACAACAGGAUUGGUCGGUAGGUAGCUAAAACACAAACACUGGUAAACAACAACAGGCUUGGUCGGUAGGUAGCUAAAACACAAACACUGGUAAACAACAACGGGCUUGUUAGGUAGCUAAAACACAAACACUGGUAAACAACAACGGGCUUGUUAGGUAGCUAAAACACAAACACUGGUUAACAACAACAGGCUUGGUCGGUAGGUAGCUAAAACACAAACACUGGUAAACAACAACAGGCUUGGUCGGUAGGUAGCUAAAACACAAACACUGGUAAACAACAACAGGCUUGUUAGGUAGCUAAAACACAAACACUGGUUAACAACAACAGGCUUGUUAGGUAGGUAGCUAAAACACAAACACUGGUAAACAACAACAGGCUUGUUAGGUAGCUAAAACACAAACACUGGUAAACAACAACGGGC